rnacentral:rRNA from 1 species
AGGACGAACGCUGGCGGCGUGCCUAACACAUGCAAGUGGAGCGACGAACCAGGCUUCGGCCUGGGGCAGAGCCGCGAACGGGUGAGUAACACGUGGGUAACCUGCCCUGAUGAUUGGGACAACCCGAGGAAACUCGGGCUAAUACCAAAUGUGCCCGUGGUUGUGAUGAUCACGAGGAAAGGAAGCUUCGGCCUCCGCAUCGGGAUGGGCCCGCGGCCCAUUAGCUAGUUGGUGGGGUAAAGGCCUACCAAGGCGACGAUGGGUAGCUGGUCUGAGAGGACGAUCAGCCACACUGGGACUGAGACACGGCCCAGACUCCUACGGGAGGCAGCAGUAGGGAAUCUUGCGCAAUGCGCGAAAGCGUGACGCAGCAACGCCGCGUGGGGGAAGAAGGCCCUCGGGUUGUAAACCCCUUUCAGUUGGGACGAAGCUUCGUCGGUUAAUAGCCGACUGGAGUGACGGUACCUUCACAAGAAGCACCGGCUAACUACGCGCCAGCAGCCGCGGUAAU